rnacentral:rRNA from 1 species
AGGAUAAACGCUGGCGGCGUGCUUCAGGCAUGCAAGUCGAACGAGUUCUUUCGGUUCGCCGAAGGAUACUAGUGGCGGACGGGUGAGUAACACGUAAGUAACCUGCCCAGAAGUGGGGAAUAACCCGCCGAAAGGCGAGCUAAUACCGCAUGUGAUGGUCUUUCUCUGGAGAGGUCAUUAAAGGCGUAAGUCGCUUCUGGAGGGGCUUGCGGCCGAUUAGCCAGUUGGUGGGGUAACGGCCUACCAAAGCAGCGAUCGGUAGCUGGUCUGAGAGGACGGACAGCCACACGGGGGACUGAGAUACGGCCCCGACUCCUACGGGAGGCAGCAGCUAGGAAUCUUGGGAAUGGGCGAAAGCCUGACCCAGCAACGCCGCGUGGGCGAUGAAGGCCUUCGGGUUGUAAAGCUCUUUUACCCGAGAUGAUAAUGACAGUAUCGGGAAGAAUAACGCCCCCGGAUAACUCCGUGCCAGCAGCCGC